GCUGUGUGUGUGUGUGUAUGCCAAGUAUGAUCACUUCCUCCUUUGAACUUUUUAUAUAAUAACUGCCUUCCUCUCCUCAUUACAGAACAAUUGCAGGGAUCAAACAGAUCUUUGUCACUUGUGGAUCAUCACUGAGAGGCACAAUGGAGCCGUGGGACUUCAGAACACGACACAAGUGGACCUCAGGUGUUUUAUGAACCAAUUCGCCAUAACAUUGGUCAUGGUAGAUCACCUCUGUGCAGUGAUACAGUUGCUGUGCAGGUGUAGGCUGAUGGAAAGCAGUUCCUACAUGAAUUUUCUAACAAGGUCUGUGAGUAUCUUUGAGUAUCCAGAUCAGGACUUACAGGAAGAGAAAUUAGUAUUGAUUUUUUUUUUCAUUUAUGCUUCUACAGGCAAUAACUGCAAAACUCUACAACAUGCAAUCCAAAUAGGUUCAGGCACUGCAGGACACAGGAGUUUGGGUGGAAUGUCCCUUUAAAAAUGUUUAUUUAGGUGAUAUCUUUCAUCGGCUGCUGAUGACUGAUUUUCUAUGUGUGAGUGUACAAGCGAGAAAACUGCAGUUAACAGAAGAGGGAGGGAGCAACACGGAUGAUUCACUGGCUUAAGCAGGAAAGCGACAAGGGGGAGGUAAACAUCUACAGACUGAAGAACAAGAGUAACACAGAAUGGGCUGAUGAACAAACGCCACAGUGAGGCAGGAAACGGAGACAUGACCCAUGAUGUGGGCACAGUGUGAGUGACAGGAAGUCAGUGAGUCCAUCGUACACUGUGGAGUUCAUAGGGUUUAUUCCGUGUUCAACAUUUCAGCAACUCUCGAAGAUAACUCCACCCUUUGUCUGAACAGAAGCCACAGAAGGCAUUUGUCUCUGAGCUGCAGGAAGGUGUGGGUUCUCUUUCUGUCGUCAGACAACCGAAUGGUCAGGAAAGCGUAACAUGAGGGCGACAUUUCAGCCCUUAGAAAUGAAACGUGUGUAUUUUUCUCUAAGCCCCAUGUGUUCAUGGGGGCGAAGCCUUGCUGUGAUGUCAACCAAAAGUGGAAUAAAAAAUGCUCAGUUAUUCA
rnacentral:lncRNA from 1 species